rnacentral:rRNA from 1 species
CAAAACUACAUUUCUUGAGUUUGGUAGAGGAGAGUGGAAUUCCUAGUGUAGAGGUGAAAUUCGUAGAUAUUAGGAGGAACACCAGUGGCGAAGGCGACUCUCUGGGCCAAUACUGACGCUGAGGUUCGAAAGCAUGGGUAGCGAACAGGAUUAGAUACCCUGGUAGUCCAUGCAGUAAACGAUGAGUGCUAGAUGUUGGGAAUUUAAAUUUCCAGUAUCGCAGUUAACGCGUUAAGCACUCCGCCUGGGAAGUACGGCCGCAAGGCUAAAACUCAAAUGAAUUGACGGGGACCCGCACAAGCGGUGGAUCAUGUGGUUUAAUUCGAAGAUACGCGAAGAACCUUACCGGCCCUUGACAUACCAAUCGCGGACUUAAGAGAUUAAGUCUUUCACUUCGGGUGGAUUGGAUACAGGUGCUGCAUGGCUGUCGUCAGCUCGUGUCGUGAGAUGUUGGGUUAAGUCCCGCAACGAGCGCAACCCUUACCUUCAAUUGCCAGCACAUUAUGGUGGGAACUUUGAAGGAACUGCCGGUGAUAAGCCGGAGGAAGGUGGGGAUGACGUCAAGUCCUCAUGGCCCUUACGGGCCGGGCUACACACGUGAUACAAUGGUAACUACAAAGGGCAGCGAAAGAGCGAUCUGGAGCAAAUCUCAAAAAGUUACCUCAGUUCGGAUUGCACUCUGCAACUCGAGUGCAUGAAGUUGGAAUCGCUAGUAAUCGUAGAUCAGCGCGCUACGGUGAAUACGUUCCCGGGUCUUGUACACACCGCCCGUCACACCAUGGGAGUUGGUUUUACCUGAAGCUGGUUCGCUAACCGUAAGGAGGCAGCCAACCACGGUAAGAUUAGCGACUGGGGUGAAGUCGUAACAAGGUAACCGUA